rnacentral:hammerhead_ribozyme from 1 species
ACACUGUUGAAGAGUCCCACAACAGGACGAAAUAGCCGUCCAGUGU